rnacentral:rRNA from 1 species
AGCGUCCGUAGCCGGCCCAGCGUGUUCUCUGUUAAAUCCGGCGGCCUAACCGCCGGGCUGCGGAGAAUACUGCUGGGCUUGGGGGUGGGAGAGGCCGACGGUACUCCCGGGGUAGGGGUAAAAUCCACUGAUCCCGGGAGGACCACCAGUGGCGAAGGCGGUCGGCCAGAACACGCCCGACGGUGAGGGACGAAAGCUGGGGGAGCGAUCGGGAUUAGAUACCCCGGUAGUCCCAGCCGUAAACGAUGCGGGCUAGGUGUCACGCCAGCUACGGGCUGGCGUGGUGCCGAAGGGAAACCAUUAAGCCCGCCGCCUGGGGAGUACGGCCGCAAGGCUGAAACUUAAAGGAAUUGGCGGGGGAGCACCACAAGGGGUGGACGUUGCGGCUUAAUUGGAGUCAACGCCGGAAAGAGCCGCGCGUGCGGUUACAAGGCUCCCGGAGACCUUACCGGGGGCGACAGCAGGAUGAAGGCCAGGUUGAAGGCCUUGCCGGACGAGCUGAGAGGAGGUGCAUGGCCGUCGCCAGUGCGUGCCGUGAGGUGUCCUGUUAAUUCAGGCAACGGACGAGACCCGCGCCCUCAGUUGCCAUCGGGCCGAAAGGCGCCGGGCACUCUGAGGGGACUGCCCCCGAAAGGGGGAGAAAGGAGCGGGUCACGGCAGGUCAGUAUGCCCCGAAUCCCCCGGGCCGCACGCGACGUUCAAUGGUGGGGACAAUGGGUUGCGACCCCGAAAGGGGGAGCCAAUCCCUAAACCCCACCUCAGUUGGGAUCGAGGGUUGCAACUCGCCCUCGUGAACGCGGAAUCCC